rnacentral:rRNA from 1 species
CUGGCUCAGAACGAACGCUGGCGGCGUGCUUACACAUGCAAGUCGGAUGCGAACGGCGCUUUCGGGCGUUGAGUAGCAUGGCAGACGGGUGAGGAGCGCGUAUCUGACUGGACUCAGGCUGGGGGAUAGUCCCUCGAAAGGGGGUUGAAUACCGCAUGUGCUCGGUGCUGUGAGGGCAUCGAGGAAAGUUGGCCUCUGCGGGCACGCUGAUGGCCUGAGACAGGGAUGCGUCCUAUUAGCUAGCUGGUGGGGUAAGGGCCUACCAGGGCGACGAUGGGUAGCUGGUCUGAGAGGAUGAUCAGCCACACUGGGACUGCGACACGGCCCAGACUCCUACGGGAGGCAGCAGUGGGGAAUUUUGCGCAAUGGGCGCAAGCCUGACGCAGCAACGCCGCGUGCAUGACGACGCCUUUCGAGGUGUAAAGUGCUGUCGACCGGGACGAAGGGGCGAGGGUGAACAGCUUUCGCGCAUGACGGUACCGGUGGAGGAAGCCCCGGCUAACUCCGUGCCAGCAGCCGCGGUAAGACGGAGGGGGCGAGCGUUGUUCGGAAUUACUGGGCGUAAAGCGCGCGUAGGCGGUGCAGCAAGUGGUGCGUGAAAGCCCUCGGCUUAACCGGGGACGGGCGU